rnacentral:tRNA from 1 species
CAUAAGAUGACUGAAAGCAAGUUCUGGUCUCUUAAACCAUAUAAUAGUAUUUAGCGAAUACUUCUUAUGA